rnacentral:lncRNA from 1 species
CUCUCUUUUUGUCUGCUGCCAUCCGCAUAAGACAUGGCCAGCUAUUCCUUGCCUUCUGCCAUAAUUGUGAGGCCUCUCCAGCCAUAUGGAACUAUUCCUCUUAGGACUCUAGAUGCACGGAGAGUGGCCAGAUUAAUACAGACUGGCAAAAGAAGAACUUGGCAAAGUGAUUUGAUCACACACUUCUCACCCUCACAUCUCCUGACAGUUCCCCUAAUCCCUGCCCCACUUCCCCGCCAUGGGCUUCCAUCAGGAAACUCCUUGAUAUCAUCUUCGAGAAGAAAACUGAGGCAUAGAACAUUUGGGAAUGAAUCUAAGACUACACAUCUAGAAUAGCAGAGUUACAGGAAUGCAGAUGUGAUUCCUAUGGAUGAGGGUAACCUAGAGGCUAGAAGAACAAUAGGACAGAAGAAGCCUGGGUCCCUGAACAACCUUGUGGAGCAUAGACACCUACGUGGCCUGGACUGCCAGCUCACAAUGGGCCUCUCUGUGAGAGAAGGAAACUUCCCUCUUGUUUAAGCAACUGUGCUUUUGAGAAUCUCUUGGUCUAUACCCUAAUGAAUAAGGCCAUCAUAAAUGGAUAUCAAAGUAAGGAAAUUUGUGUAAAUGAUUUAAUAAAACAUUACCUCAGGUAUGAAAUAAUUCUACCUUGUGCCUUGACAACAUCAGGUAUUAUUCAUGCCCUUUUCUCUCCCUGUAAUGUCUCUUAUCCACGGGUAGAAAUUAUAUUUUCCAUCUAAGGUUUGCUCAAAUAUUAUCUACUUAAGUAGCUCUUACCAAUUUUGCCUCUCCUCCUGAGCUGACCCUAUGCCUUCUAUGCUGUUCCAGGUAAUAUUAAUCUCUUCCUUUGUACUUCUUUCACAGAACAUACUUUUUUGUCUAACAUAAUAACUAUAGGCAUAAGUGUAUAGAUUCCACUAGGGGCUUCAGAACAGAAACUAUCAUCUUAUUAAUUUUUUUCUCCCUGAUAUCUAGGGAAAUAUGUUAUAUAUAAUAGGCCCUUAGUAAUCCCAUAAAUGUUUGUGAGAUAUUCACUGACUAUAAGCCAUACUCUGUAUUUAUUUAGCUAAAACAGACGUCUUUCAUAUUUAGUUAGCAGAAAAUGCUCACAUUUACUCCUUUCCUGUUUACCAAAUGAAAGGGUAAUUGUUUUUUCACAGAUUGCACUAGAAAAGUGUCUUCUCUCUCUUUUUCAAAUAGAUUGUCUUUAAAACAUAUGACAGGAAAAGUGACUAUUGUUAGGAUAAGAUAAUUACGAUUGUAACAGCUAGUUUAAAAGAAGUGUCAGUUGCUCCUGUUUUAUUUUUCACAGGAUAGAGCUGCGGCCUGUCUCAGUAUGAUGUUUUCAGGAUCUGGUAUAUAUUUUUAUUUUCCUACAUGAAUCUUUCAUCCUUUUACUGACAUUUAUUCAUUUUAUCUAAUUAUCCUAAAAGGAAAGCUCUGGCCAGGCAAAUUGGUUGUUGUCUGCCUCUGAAGAGACAUUCAUAUCGCGUCGCUUAGCUUUCAAGUUUUGUGAUCAGGAACCCUCAGGCCCAUUUUUAAGGAGGUUUCAGGCUAGCUGAGCUUCACUGUCUCCCAAAAUGUACAAAAUGAGAUUACAUGAGGGACAAGAUCAAUUUACUGGAAGGUACUUAAGCAGUAAAUCUGGAGCUUUUUGUCCAGUCACUAUUGCUUUCAAGCUUUGUAGCAGAAAAUUAAGCCACAAGAGCUUUGACAAAUUAGAUAUUACUACCUCUAAUUGUGUAUGUUUAAGCUUAUCACACUGAAUUGCAGCAUUGUAACUGACUAUUAUGCCAACAAGGCCUUCGUUUAAUCAGCGCAGUGCCAUUUAAUCGCAAUUAAUCACUCAACUAAAAUGUCAUAUUAAGGUCACAGAAACUUGAAGGGCUAAAAGAAAAGAGAACAUUAAAGUCAGCUGAUGGAGGAAAAGAGCAUGGUGUGCCAAGGGAAGUUCUGAGCACUCUUUUUCAUUAGAAGCUGGUAGAACAUUUAAUGAGAAUUCAGUCUUAACUUUCAGCUGAGAUCAGAACAACGUGCC